GGGUAACUUGAGUUAUUUCAUACAGACCUUUCUGAUCUUCAGGUCACAGCUACUUUACUCUUCUCAGUAUGUAUGUGCAUAAAACUAAUUCCAUGUAUAACUAUCGUGGUUCUUCCACCAACCUUUCAGUUCAGUUAUGCCUUUAGUAAGACAAUCCACAAACUGAUAUAAUAAAUAUCUCCGUGGGCAACAAGUAACUAACUGUGGAUAAGCACCUAAGAGCAUGUACUGAGUUUGGUUGAGAUGGAGUUGAUUUUCUUCAUAGCAUCCCGUGUGGUCCUGUGGUUUAAGAUUUGUGACCAAAACCAGUGCUGAUAACACAUCAAUGCCUUAGCUACUGCUGAACAAUGCUUGUACAGUGCCAAGGCUUCAUCCAUUUCUCACGUUGUGCCCCCAGCAAGUAGGCUGGGAGGGAACAGCUGACUCAAACUGACCAAAGAGAUAUUCCAUACCACGUAACGUCAUGACUAGCCAUAAAAACUGUGUGCAUGCGUGCUGGGAUGUGUCUUUCCAAAGUCGUCGCUGCUCAAGGACUGGCUGGGCAUUGGUCUGCUGGUGGGAGUUGGCACACACAUGAAUAAUUACAAAGGAAUAAUCAGUUAACUCAAAUGUGGGAAGUAUUACAGAAAGAAGACUUGAAGGACUGUUUGGCUGAAUAUACCAUCAAAUCUGGAUGCCCUGAGAAAAUGUGUAGUAUUUUUUGAAUGUGGAACUGUAAAACUGUCCUUUGGAAUGCUUAAAUUAGAUAAAUACAGUUUUUAACCAUGUUGGAGGUGCUACUCCUGAGCCUGAGCAGCCUUGGUCAGUUUGGCAAAUCAAUUAUCCAGAUGUCACUUGUUUAUAGGCACAGACACUGUUCCCAAGGCUGUUUGCUGAACUACCUUCAACAAUGGCUGUCUCUUUGAUGCAGUGCUAUGUUGCCACUCCAUCACAUCUUAGACCUUAGCUCUGGGGAAUCUUUUCACUUGCAGGAUGCUCAUCUACAGGUAAUCACUUCAUCUUGAGAGGAUGAGCUGGGAACAGGAUCUCCAACACCUGUGAAUUCAGUCACUGUCUUAUAAAUAUCUUCUCGGCCCAGGGACUGCUCCUGGGUGGAUGCAGGGCUGGAAGGUGCCUCAUCAGGCCAUCCAAAACACUCUGCACCUCUAGACUGUCUCAAAAAUAAUCUUUUCUUUCCAGGACUCACACACAUUGUCAAAGGCAGAGAAUAUUUACACCCAUUACAUCCUUCUAGAUUCCUGCAAAUGGCAAGGAGUCACAGAGAAAGGCAACACCCUUCCUCCAGAGCGAUAGCCUUGGUGUCAAAGGCAGCAGGGACAUCACAGGAACUGAAUGCCAUCAGCAACGCAGUUUCAAGUCCUGGAGCAUUAGUCAGUGUCACUUGCUGCUCAGAUGCCCUGCCAUGUCCUGGGUUCUCUGUCAAACAUAAGCUGGAACCCUGGCUUGUGCCAGCACUAGUACUGAAUGCCACAGUGGUAACAAGGAUCAGGCAACAAAAUGCCAUAGGGAGGAUCAGUGUCUGAACUGCUUUUUUAUUGUCAUUUGCCUGGGAUCCAGCCCUGGGAGAGAAGUAGAAGGCACCAGCAGUACCACAGCACCCGUUCCUCACCCAGGCACUUUGGAAGCAGGUCACCAACAUUAAGAAGUUCCAUGAGCACCACUGGAAAAUAUUCACGCUUCCAGUCUUGGGAGAUGCCUGCUACUCCUCCACAUGCCCCAAUGACUGCUUUGUUUGUUCACAUGGCCUUCGGUUCCAUGAAAUCUGUGACGAGGGACGUAAACCAAUGGAACGAGGCUUAUAAAAAAUAUUGAAAACUGAAGUUAAAAGCUCCCCAAGAACAAGAAGGUAGCACUAAGGCCGAGAAGUGACUGAAACACAUGGAGACAUUUAGGCCUCUAUUCCUUUGAUAUGAUGCAAAAGUGACAGCAGCAUAUCUACAGAUACCUACAGAUACCACUAGAUUAGAAAGUUCUUAUGUAUGAGCACAGUAAUCACACACACAUUCACACCUGAACACAGAUGAGGACUAUUGCUCAAAAUCAAACCAGUCAAUUUAGAAUACACAUGCAGAGAAAUAAAAGGUUCUGCCCAACCCUUUUUCUGAGGAGCUGAUUAUGAUGACUGUUUCUUUUAGACCAGUUUCUAUAAUCUCCUGUAAAAACCUGAUCCUAAAGUUCAAAAACCAAGAUAAUCAAAAGACUCUCUAAAGUUUCAGUGUUCACAGGCUAAAAUUACAAGGAAAGGAGCAAGGGCAACGCAGGGAAGAUAUAAGAAAUGCUAAAUCAAGUCUGUCCACAUUUCAGCAGCCACUUAGAUGAUAUUAAAUUUCAUAACAUUCAAUAUCCUUUCUUUCACAACUGUUUGCCCUGACACUCUUUACAUUAUAAAAUAAAGUUUAAGAAGUAAUUCAGUGUGGGAAUUUUUUAGUUUUAUGAGGGGCAUCCAGACCAUCAUAUAAAGUGAGAGGUUUUUUAAAGCAACAUGAUAUACUAACACUACCGACAAUACUACAAUUUACUGAGAGAGACAAAUAUGCCCACAGAGAGUUCAAAAGGAAAGCUGGAUGUUGUAGUGCCUCAGAAGUCUGGAAAACAUGACUGGAGAGGUAAAGUCAACCUCAUGUGUUCUUCCCACAAACUGAGGAAGAUGCUACUUGGAAGAGGUUUCAAAAUUCUUUUCAAAGGUAGAAAUGACUCAGCCACUAGAUGGAAUAUCUCAUCAUGAAGCGACAAAAUCUACCUUUGGAGAAUCACACCCUGAUUGCUUUUGAAAUGAAAAAAGCAAGCACAUGUAUUUCACGCACACCGUGGCCUGCUGCUGCGAACACGUGGCUGGUCACACCUGCUUCAUUAGAUGACAUGAACAUCUAAUUUGUCAUCAACAGCCAAAUUUAUUUAUAAUCAUCUUCAAGUGUAAUGGACAUCCUGCUAGUAGGAAAACACAUUCAAUAAAGCAAAAUGUAUAUGUUAGAAUGAAAACAAGUAUUAUGUGUUGUAUAUAAAAUUAAUUUUUAUAUUAUUCAUUUAUAUCUAAUAAAUCUACUCUACACACCUAUGCUGCAAUAUAGGCUGUAAAUCAGUGAGUCCUCUGAAAGCAGAUAAAAAUAUAUUUCAGAAUUAUGAGAGAAACAGAUCAGAUGGUGGACAGCCUGGGAAAUAUUAUGUCCAGAGGAAGAACUGAAGAAAUUGCACUUUGGUAGAGAAAUUCAUCCAUCUCAGUUACAGAGAGACACAACCAGGACAUAGAUGUUAAACUCUAUCAACUCUCACGUUCUGUGGAACAAAGUCAGAACUGAUACCUCCCGCUGUGGGAAGAAAUUAAUACACGCUAAUAGCUCGUUGUUUUGGCAGCUCUCCCACGGUAAUGACUGGAGGGUUGAACUUCAACUGGAAAAGCCUAUCCAAUCCAUCAUUAGAAGAGAAGGAAUUGCAUGGACCAUAAUAAAGAACAGUGGCAACACAGAAUUUCUGGACUUUGAUAAAUCUUAUGAACCACAAAGAAACAAAUUAUCAAAACAUGGAGUCUUCAGAGCAUAAAGGACUUGCUUUAAGGUGGAUUCAGGAAAAGCACUGCUUCUGCAGAAGACAGCACAGGGGAGUAUGGGGAAAACAUUUAACAGAAUUACACCAAGGAAAUAUGCCAAAGGUUGGCAAAUAACUCUGAUCUAACUUAGAGGAGAUUAGACUUGUCCAAACAGGUACAGAGAGGUUUCUUUUAAAACAAAACAAAACUGUAGAGUACAGUGAGUUAGUCACAACUGUAGUGCUAUUAAGGAAGGAUUAGUAAAAUCAUCAAAAAAAUGAAAACAAUACAAAGAAAACAACAGCUAAAUAAACCAAGGAUGACAAACUAGACAAAGUAAAUAGGUGGCCAACAGUGAGAAAUUAUUCAGAUACCUUUCCAACAGUAGUGAAAAACCUCUCAUGGACUAAUUGUAUUUCAUACUUUUAAAAGAAACUUGCCAGAAUAUUAAAAUAUAAAUACCUAUCAUAAAAAUUCAGUUUAAUCAGGCCACACUAUAUCAUCAGAAAUACUGUUGUGCUCAAUAUUUGAACUUGCUAGAGCUCAUUUAGACAAAGAAUUUGUGAAUUUAAAGUUGCCAAGUGUUUGCCAGAUACUCCCUGUUCAAUUCCUCCUCAGCCGUCACAGCGAGCACCCCUGUAAUGUGUAAACGUCACUCAAAUACCUCCGUGUAAACCCUGAACAAUUAUUAUUCUUCUGAUGCUGCCCCACUGGUUUAGCAGCUAGUGGGACAUUCUUGCAGUGCCUGAUGGCUCCUGCCAGGCUCACACACAGGCUCUGAGCACUGCACUCCAAAGUGGGAAGGAGAUAUAGCUCAUUUAAACAAGGUUCGUUUGGGAUGCAGAGCAUUCACAUAAAUACUCCCGAUCUGAAUUACUACAGCAUUUCACACACUAGUAAAUAUUCAUAAUUGCGGUAAAUUUUUGCUCCUGUUUUCAAAUUAGAAGUCUUAGUAUCACAUUGUAUUUAGUAUUUACAGAAAAAAAGAGAGACCUUUAGCAUAACAAAAAACACUGCUGCCAAAAAAUCACGUAAUGAAGUAUGUGCUGAUUUUCUAGGGGUAUUUUUAAUUUAUAAGACAUUCCUAGCACACUGGCACACAUGUAAAAGUUGUUUGGAAUAAGACUCUUACUUGUUUUGAACUUAAGUUUAUAAAAAUUAAACAUUUUCUAAACUAUGUUUUUAUCCAAACGUAGUAUGCUUGUGCUAAGAAAUACUUCUUGAAAGUCAAGAUGAGAAGUCAGGUUUCUUGACAGAAAAAGCUGCAUUUAGGCUUCAUAUUUUUUUUUAUUCAUUUUAUUACCUGUAUCAAGACGGCAGAGAGUACUGUUGUACAUCUACUUAUUUUUUUCCUUUCAGAGUGAAUUGUAGUGAAAACAUUAAAUCCCUCCCAUAGAAUUUAGCUUACUCAUAAAUUUAACUCAUAUAAAACACUAAAAAUCCUGCGUUAAAACUAUUAGUUCUACCUUACCUCAAAGGCUGUAUAUAGUAAAGAUUUCUAUUUGUCCCAAGCAAGGAAGAUAUAAUCUAGAUUUUAUUAAAGAGUUGGUUAGUUCAACUGCUGGUUGUUCCAAGCCACAGAUGUGUGGCCUAAGAUAGUGCAAACAAUAAAACAGACUCACAGGAAUAAUAGUACAACUCUGGCUGCCUUUGGAUUCUUGCUCUACUAACAGAGAGGACAGACACCUCCAUAAUUCAGUUUUGCUAGAACUUUGAAAUAUGAGCAUUUUCCUGAAAACAUCAGAAGAUUUCAUCCCAAAUACAGAAGAGCCUACCUGAAGCCCUGGCUAUGCUCAGUUUUUGACAAAUGUGACAGAGAAGGGAAUCACAGAAUGUUAGGGAUUGGAAGGGACCUCGAAAGAUCAUCUGGUCCAAUCCCCCUGCUGGAGCAGGAACACCUGCAUCAGGUUGCACAGGAACAUGUCCAGGUGGGUUUUCAAUGUCUCCAGAGGAGACUCCACAACCCCCCUGGGCAGCCUGUUCCAGUGUUCUGUCACCCUCACUGUGAAGAAGUUUCUUCUCAUAUUCAAGUGGACUCUCCUAUGUUCCAGUUUGCACCCAUUGCCCCUUGUCUUAUCAUUGGUUGUCACCGAGAAGAGCCUGGCUCCAUCCUCCUGACACUCACCCUUUACAUAUUUAUAAACAUUAAUGAGGUCACCCCCCAGUCUCCUCCAAGCCAGAGACCGAGCUCCCUCAGCCCUUCCUCACAUGGGAGAUGCUCCACUCCCUUGAUCAACAGGUAUCGAGCUGUUCACUGGGAACCAGGCACGUGAACAGACUUACCACCUGCAGGACUGUCACUGAUACUGUAUUUAAAAUACACCUCUGUGGAAUGUU